AGCAAGAGAGAUAGUGGGGUUCAAUUUCAACACUAACAUUCGAAUUAGCAUUGUGUUGUAAAGAGUGUGAGCUGGGUUGAUGUUGACAGAGAACAAGAGUUAAGGAAGAUUAGUUUUUGGUUACGAGAGUGAAGAAGGGUUCUAGGUUUUGGAGAAGAGAGAGAAAGGAAGGGAUUAAGGUGAGAAAGUAGGGGAGACAUUUAUGGUGACUGGUUUUGAUGUCAGUCUCUGUUCAGUAUUUCAAAUCGUAGGAUAAUAGAAACUCAAG
rnacentral:lncRNA from 1 species